AACUUCCUGUAAUUGAACAUGUCAUUGUAAAAAUACAGAAGCAGUGAUGGGAGAGCAGGAAGUGUUUGCAUCUGGAUUCCGUGGUCCGUCCAAUCUAGAAGCUGAGGCUAUUAGUGAGACUGCAACUUAACUUUCAUACAAGUUAAAUACCAAGUCAAAGCGCCUUCAGUUCAACUUUAACUUCGGUCUCCCUUCUUAGGCUCAUGCUACUGGUUUCUGUUUCUAAUAUGCAAAGAAGACCAACAAGAACAUAUGUAGACAUAUUUAUGUACAAGCAUUUCAAUCUCUCCGUCCUCUAAGAUUGAACGUUGAGUUUUCCACUUAGCUCUUUGCCAUCCUACGAGCUGCACUUACAGCAAGGUUAGAUUGGAAAAGGAAAAUGAUGUCCACAAGAAAGGCCAGGAGAUCGAUUAAACAACUCCCAUAAAUCCGUGAAUGCAGGGUAUUGUUUGACUCUAGCUAUAGGUCAGAGCUUCUAUUGUGCUGCUUCAGAGAUCGAUGGUGAAGAAGCUCGAACUAAAGUAGGUCUCCUGUUUCAGUUUGACAUUCAUUAUGCAGCUUAAUUAAAUGUAAAAUCUAUUUACAUUUUUCCACUCCUCCAGUAGCAUAUUCAAACUCACUUCAUUUGAAUU